AUUGAACGCUGGCGGCAGGCUUAACACAUGCAAGUCGAGCGGAGGUGAGGUGCUUGCACCUUAUCUUAGCGGCGGACGGGUGAGUAACGCUUAGGAAUCUGCCUAUUAGUGGGGGACAACAUUCCGAAAGGAAUGCUAAUACCGCAUACGUCCUACGGGAGAAAGCAGGGGAUCUUCGGACCUUGCGCUAAUAGAUGAGCCUAAGUCGGAUUAGCUAGUUGGUGGGGUAAAGGCCUACCAAGGCGAGGAUCGGUAGCGGGUCUGAGAGGAUGAUCCGCCACACGGGGACUGGAAAACGGCCCAGACUCCUACGGGAGGCAGCAGGGGGGAAUAUUGGACAAUGGGGGGAACCCUGAUCCAGCCAUGCCGCGUGUGUGAAGAAGGCCUUAUGGUUGUAAAGCACUUUAAGCGAGGAGGAGGCUACUGAGACUAAUACUCUUGGAUAGUGGACGUUACUCGCAGAAUAAGCACCGGCUAACUCUGUGCCAGCCGCCGCAGUAA
rnacentral:rRNA from 1 species